rnacentral:lncRNA from 1 species
CUUUUUUUCUUUUAUGGUAAGAACUAUUGCAAAUUUAUCUUCCAUCUACUUCCUUCAUGGCCUUUUCACUCACUAACUUCUUAGCCCUUUAUUAUUGAAUACAUGUUUUCUUCACCAUCCUUUGGGAGUUGCUCUCUCAGUGGCUAUUGUAGUGGUCAUUGUUGGUUGUAACCACAUCUCCUUCUCCCUUCACUGUAUAUCAGCCAAGUAGUCAGGGUUAGACUGACCUAGUUGCAGCUCAG